rnacentral:rRNA from 1 species
AUACGUAGGGUGCAAGCGUUAAUCGGAAUUACUGGGCGUAAAGCGUGCGCAGGCGGUUUUUUAAGUCAGUGGUGAAAUCCCCCGGGUCAAACUGGGAGCUGUCAUUGGGACUUCCAGGAUGGUGUUCGGUAGAGGGGGUUGGGAUUACGCUUGUGAUGGUGAAAUGCGUAGAUAUUCUGAGGAACACCGGUGGCGAAGGCCAUCCCCCGAGCCAGCACAGACGCUCAUACACGAAAGCGUGGGGAGCAAACAGGCUUAGAUUCCCUUGUAGUACACGCCCUAAACGAUGUCAACUGGUUGGUUGGUAUUUAUUUUCGCAGUAACGAAGCAAACGCGUGAAUUUGACCGCCUGGGGAGUCCGGCCGCAAGGUUAAAACUCAAAGGAAUUGACGGGG